rnacentral:rRNA from 1 species
UAACAGAUGAGCCCAGGUCGGAUUAGCUAGUUGGUGGGGUAAAGGCUCACCAAGGCGACGAUCCGUAGCUGGUCUGAGAGGAUGAUCAGCCACACUGGAACUGAGACACGGUCCAGACUCCUACGGGAGGCAGCAGUGGGGAAUAUUGGACAAUGGGCGAAAGCCUGAUCCAGCCAUGCCGCGUGUGUGAAGAAGGCCUUCGGGUUGUAAAGCACUUUAAGCGGGGAGGAAGUACUUGGGGCUAAUACUCCUGAGUGUUGACGUUACCCGCAGAAUAAGCACCGGCUAACUCUGUGCCAGCAGCCGCGGUAAUACAGAGGGUGCAAGCGUUAAUCGGAAUUACUGGGCGUAAAGCGCGCGUAGGCGGUUUGUUAAGUCGGAUGUGAAAUCCCCGGGCUCAACCUGGGCACGGCAUCCGAUACUGGCUGACUAGAGUGUGGGAGAGGAAGGUAGAAUUCCAGGUGUAGCGGUGAAAUGCGUAGAGAUCUGGAGGAAUACCGAUGGCGAAGG